rnacentral:tRNA from 1 species
GCCAAAUAGCUCAGUUGGGAGAGCGUUAGACUAUAGAUCGAAAGGUCCGUGGUUCGAUCCCGGGAUAUUCGGCA